rnacentral:lncRNA from 1 species
GCCAGGAGCUGUGGAUAAGUUAUCCUUCUUAGAAUGAAAUAUUCAUUUUGAUUAACAGGGGGUGACGUGAUUGAAAAGACUGGAAACAGAAAGAUUGGACUUUGUAAGACUUUGAUGUAAGGAGUCAGAAUCAUAAUUUCACAUAUGAAGCAUCUUUUACAUCUGGGGAGUCAGAAUCCCAAAGGCAAAAAAUUGUGUGUGCAAAGAGCUUACCAAAUCUUAAGCCUCAUUCUCAGCAUUAAGCUGUAUGUUUAGGCUAGAAGAAAGUGAAGAUUCUUGAAAGCAAGAAUGAUGUGGGACUGCAAAGGCAAAG